rnacentral:misc_RNA from 1 species
CGGUGCCGAAUAGCGGUACUAUAUUUAUCGCCAUAUUUGUGAUGGCGACCGAUAUUUAUAGAUCGUAAGGGUGUUGUUAUUCAAUAAAUAAAUGCAUUAAAAAUGGAGGAGACGAAAGUUAUUUAUUACAUAGACGAUGAAGAAACGCCGUACCUAGUGAAAAUACCUAUCUCGCCGGAGAAAGUGACUUUGUUGGACUUCAAAAACCAGUUGAACCGACCGAACUAUAAGUUUUUCUUUAAAUCCAUGGACGAUGAUUUCGGUGUUGUUAAAGAGGAAAUUGUUGACGAUAACGCUCAUUUACCGUGUUUUAACGGUCGUGUAGUGUCGUGGCUAGUGUCUGCCGAGGGCUCGAAUCCUUCGGACGGAGCUUCACAGUGUACUGAUAGCAAUGCAGGGAAAGGCAAACAAACUCACGGGGCUCCGGCGCCCGUCACCCGGGACACCUGCACUGACACGGAUAGCACCAUCAGCUCCCGCCCCGGCCACAGAGCAUCCUGCGACAAGUAUAAAUACCGCGGAUUACGGAUAAACGGCCACUCAAAAUACGGUAACCAUGGGUUGGAAUACGAGACAGCUUCCGUGCUCAGUUCUGACUUAGACUCCACAAGUUUGUUCGACAGCCAGUCGGAAAUCACCACGACGACUGGGAGGCACACUAACGCCUCCGUAGACAGAGCCCUGACUGAAUGCAGCAGUGUUUCCCAUCUGCAAGUGAGUUCUCGUAAAAGGCCACAGCGGAGACGAAAGAGGCCGCAAGUCAUGUCUAGAACUUCCUCCUAUUCAUCUAUAACUGACUCAACAAUGUCUAUGCACAUUAUAACGGUGACUCUGAACAUGGAUACGGUGAAUUUCCUGGGUAUUUCCAUAGUUGGCCAGUCAAACAAGGGUGGAGAUGGAGGAAUAUAUGUUGGGAGUAUUAUGAAAGGUGGUGCCGUGGCCCUGGACGGCAGGAUAGAGCCGGGAGACAUGAUAUUACAGGUGAACGACGUGAACUUCGAAGACAUGACGAAUGAUGAGGCGGUGCGCGUGCUCCGCGAGGUGGUGCAGAAGCCGGGGCCCAUCAAGCUGGUGGUCGCCAAGUGCUGGGACCCCAACCCUAAGGGGUACUUCACUAUUCCUAGGACAGAGCCUGUGAGGCCUAUUGAUCCAGGCGCAUGGGUAGCACACACCCAAGCCCUACGCGAAGCCUACCCGCCGCCGCCUCCGUCACUCUCAGCGCUCCCCGUAUCCUCAGUAUCGGAGCGCGGGGCUUCGGACGCGUCGACGCUGCCGGCGGGAGCGUUGGAGCCCCAGCUCUCUGUCAACAUGGACAUGGCUAUCGUAGUUAGGGCUAUGCUGAGGCCUGAAUCGGGCCUAGAAAUCCGUGACCGCAUGUGGCUGAAAAUCACAAUACCGAAUGCAUUCAUCGGCGCCGACGUGGUGGAUUGGAUCCUGCAGCACGUCGCCGGCAUCGCGGACCGACGCGACGCCAGGAAGUACGCCUCGCACAUGCUCAAGGCGGGCUUCAUCCGUCACACGGUGAACAAGAUAACGUUCUCGGAGCAGUGCUACUACGUGGCGGGCGAGCUGUGUGCGCAGCUGGCGGCGCUGCGCCUGCGCGGGACGGAUACCGACAGUGUGCUCAGUGACACGCUCGCGCCGCUGCCUAACCCCAACAUAAUGGGUCCCGGCUACAUGCCGUACGCGGGCUCGUACGGCUACCAGCCGAUACCCUUCAAGUACUCCUCCUGCGUCAACAGCGAACACACUGUAUAUGGCUACAACCGCGAGGAGAGCGUGGUGUCGGGCAGCGGGGGCUCCAGCGGCGGCUCCGAGCGCCUCACGGCCAAGGAGCGGGAGCCCGAGCGCAAGUCCACCUCCUCCUCCUCCUCCGCCGCGCCCGAGCCCGUGCCCGAGCCGGACCGGCCCGUGCUCUUCCUAUAACGGUGUGUAUCUACUGUAGCAGCGCCAGUCCACCUCCUCCUCCUCCUCCGCCGCGCCCGAGCCCGUGCCCGAGCCGGACCGGCCCGUGCUCUUCCUAUAACGGAGCGUAUUUUGAGGUGUGCCCUCUGAAAACUGCCAAAAAUCGUGACGUAUAUAAUAUAUUAUAUUAUUCGAUACGUCUUAGAGGAUGCGGCUGACUUCUGACGCAGCUGGGCAAAGAAGGUAUUUAAAACGGUACUAUAGACGUUUUUGAUUAAUUUAUUGUGAAAAAAACUGAAAUUUUGAUAAAAUUUGACGGUUUUUGUGUGUAAAAAUAUGUAUGCAAAUGUGUUAUUUUAAGAUUUUUACUACUUGCUACCAAAUUAUUUAAUCCGACUUCUCAAAAAAGAGGUUCUUAAUUUGCAUGUUUUUUUUUAUGAAAUCGGUAAUCUUUUUGAGAAAUUGUUUUAGUCACUAUUAAUUUUUAUAAAAAAAAUUCAUGUAUAACUUUGUCUACAUAUUUUUAUACACAAUCACUGAAAUAUACCCGCCAUAACUGCACAAAAUGUCUCAAAAUCGACUUCCAUUUUUGAAGUCUGGAAGUCGAUGUCUAAAACUCCCUAAAUUAUACUCUACCUACUGUACUAGUGUUAACAAUAUGAAGUCAGUGUCAAAAAAGCGACUUCAAAUUUUUUGAAGUCUGGAAGUUGAUGUCUAAAACCCCUAAAUUAUACUCUACCUACAGUAAUAGUGUUAUUAAUAUGAAGUCAUUGUCAAAAAAGCGACUUCUAAAUUUUGGAAGUUUGGAAGUCUGGAAGUCGGUGGCCAGUCGCAGCCCACGGUAAAGCUAAUCAUGAUACUAGAUCGCCAUAUAAUUUUAGUCUUAUGUAUAUUAUUAGUUUAAGUGUAAAUAUCUAAUUGUAACACCCUAUAUAUAAACUUAAAAACUAAAAUAAUACACUUUUUAGAGUUAGGAACGAGAUUGGUAAUAAUUUGAAGUUUUAAAACAUCCUGUAUUUUUUAACUAUUUUACCCGAUUGUGGAAUCAAAAAGAUAGUUAUGCUUUUCUAUAGGUACUAAUAUUAUAAAGCUGAAGAGUUUGUUUGUUUGAUUCAACCCGCUAAACCUGGGAUCUACAAAACCGUUUUGAAAAAUACUUUAAGUGUUAGAUAGCCUAUUUAUCGAGGAAAGUAGGUUACUUUUUUACGACUACGACGGAAUUUUUUUUUUUUGGUUUUCUCAGAAACUACUAAACCGAUUUGAAAAAUUCUUGCACUGUUGGGGCGCUACACUCUUGCCGAGUAACAUAGGCUAUAUUUUAUCCCGGUACGGGCCGUAGUUCCCACGGGACGCGGACAAAAUUGCUGGGAAUCGGCUAGCUUCACAUUAAAAAAAAACUUCCAAAUUAUUUUUCAAUAACAUCAAAAUCGAUAUCAUAGUUUAUACGUACAAACUGAAAAUUACAAUUGCCAUAUUAAUUUAAGUUUUAUUCAUCCCAAGUUCACUCACAACGUAAAUAUCAAUUUUUCUUAAAACAACUUGUUUACUAUGAAAAUUGAACAUGAAAAUUCAUUUUAAACAGUUGUUUUAAGACAACUGAAUUAAAAUCACAAAUCCUCGUUCUUAUCUCUAAAAAGUGGUAUAAUAAUGAAAUAAAAAAUGAUAAAACUACGCUAAGUAAUAUAUUACUAAAGUUGUACCAUUUAACUAUAACGAUACCUAACCGAACCGUUUUCAGUUGUCAAAUUGUCAAAUCGCCGAUGUGACGUCAGUAAGUAUACGGCUGGUUAUGGUCUGGUUAUCGUUAUAGUUAAAUGGUGCAAUUGGGUCUUACAGCCAGUUUCUUCAUCAAGAGUAAAAGUCAAAGUAAUGUCUAAAGUAAAAGUAACGGUCAAAUUCAUUUUUUCUAUUAGUUUUGCUGUCAUUUUAGCCUUGAAAAAACGAAUUUGACCGUUACUUUUACUUUAGACAUUACUUUGACUUUUACUUUUGAUGAAGAAACUGGCCGUUAGUGUCAUUUAUUAUAAACAAAUUGGCACUAAAUAGACUUUGAUUCUAUUGGUCGAAAAUUGUAUUGUUGUCUUUUUCUAACCCAGUGAGAAUUAUAAAGUCCUGACAUAGAUAUUUUUAGACUAUACUCUAUUUGAGUAGUUCACUAAAGGUAAACCAUCUUGAUAGGAUGUUACACAAAUACAUAUUAAAUAAAUCAGCUGUCAUUGAACAUCUUUGGCAGUCGUUACGGGUAGUCAGAAGCCAGUGAAUCUAACACAAACCUGACCAAGGGGUAUUGGGUUGCCCGAGUAACUGGGUUGAGGAGGUCAGAUAGGCAGUCGCUCCUUGUGGCACACUGGUACUCAGCUGCAUCCGGUUAGACUGGAAGCCGACACCAACAUAGUUGGGAAAAGGCUCG